UACGUAGGUGGCAAGCGUUUGUCCGGAAUUAUUGGGCGUAAAGCGCGCGCAGGCGGUCCCUUAAGUCUGAUGUGAAAGCCCACGGCUCAACCGUGGAGGGUCAUUGGAAACUGGGGGACUUGAGUACAGAAGAGGAAAGCGGAAUUCCACGUGUAGCGGUGAAAUGCGUAGAGAUGUGGAGGAACACCAGUGGCGAAGGCGGCUUUCUGGUCUGUAACUGACGCUGAGGAGCGAAAGCGUGGGUAGCAAACAGG
rnacentral:rRNA from 1 species